rnacentral:rRNA from 1 species
UACGAAGGGGGCUAGCGUUGCUCGGAAUCACCGGGCGUAAAGCGCACGUAGGCGGCUUCUUAAGUCAGGGGUGAAAUCCUGGAGCUCAACUCCAGAACUGCCUUUGAUACUGAGGAGCUUGAGUCCGGGAGAGGUGAGUGGAACUGCGAGUGUAGAGGUGAAAUUCGUAGAUAUUCGCAAGAACACCAGUGGCGAAGGCGGCUCACUGGCCCGGUACUGACGCUGAGGUGCGAAAGCGUGGGGAGCAAACAGG